rnacentral:piRNA from 1 species
UGGAACAUGACAGCUGAAGGCUUCUCCUGC